AACGAACGCUGGCGGCAGGCCUAACACAUGCAAGUCGAACGCCGUAGCAAUACGGAGUGGCAGACGGGUGAGUAACACGUGGGAACGUACCCUUCGGUUCGGAAUAACUCAGGGAAACUUGAGCUAAUACCGGAUACGUCCGAGAGGAGAAAGAUUUAUCGCCGAGGGAUCGGCCCGCGUCUGAUUAGCUUGUUGAUGAGGUAACGGCUCACCAAGGCGACGAUCAGUAGCNGGUCUGAGAGGAUGAUCAGCCACAUUGGGACUGAGACACGGCCCAAACUCCUACGGGAGGCAGCAGUGGGGAAUAUUGGACAAUGGCGCAAGCCUGAUCCAGCCAUGCCGCGUGAGUGAUGAAGGCCCUAGGGUUGUAAAGCUCUUUUACCCGGGAAGAUAAUGACUGUACCGGGAGAAUAAGCCCCGGCUAACUUCGUGCCAGCCGCCGCGGUAAC
rnacentral:rRNA from 1 species